GCCGGAGUGGUGGAACUGGCAGACGCGCCGGACUCAAAAUCCGGUCCACGCAAGUGGGUGGGGGUUCAAGUCCCCCCUCCGGCA
rnacentral:tRNA from 1 species